rnacentral:lncRNA from 1 species
GUCUGUCCGUGUAUCUUCCCUGCACCGGGCAUCCCUCCCAGUCACCAGGCUCAGAGUGGCUUCUUAACAGGAAGUGUGUAAAGGGGUGGGAGGCUGAGUGAAUGGAGGCAGUGUGCUGUCAGAGGGAUCCGGUUGGGGGGAGAGGAGACGGGAGGGUGUUCUGGGUUGGCUGUGGGCUGACUUGCAGGAGAUGCCAGCCCUUGCAGCUCUGUCUCCAGUCUGUAUGAUGGGAAACCUCUCAGACUCCACUCCCGUGUGGUGCCUUCCAGAACAAGAAUAUAAUUUCUAUGACAGGCUGUUUCUUGGUAGUGUUCUCUCCCCUGCAGUUGCUGAGGGACAGGCCCUGGAUUUUCAGGGCUCUAUAUGUUCUGCUGAGGGGCAAGGAUCCAGCAGGGCAGAUUGGAAGGAAGCCUUGCCCCUGCUCUGGUCCCUUGGUCCUCCUCAGCUGAGCUUCAUAUCUUUCCUGGGACUAAGCACAUGGACAGGCCUCGUGUCCAGGAGAGCCCUGGCUCCUACUGCAGCUCCUCCCUGCCCCAAAUCAUUGUCAUGCUCUGCCUGUGGUCCCAUUUCCAUAGCAACUUCUUGUGAUGCCUCUGAGGAGAGCAGGAGCUUCAAAAAGGGUUGGGGGAAGGGAGCUGGAGACCCAGUCAUUGUCUGGGAGCAUGGCAGUGGGGGCUUGAGAAGCACUCAUGGGGAUGGCUUGGUCUGCCAGCUCAGGUGGAACUGGGCUCAGGGCUGCCAGCCAGGUGGUCUGGAGCCUCUUGUAUCCACAGGUCCUGAGGUUCUGGCACCUAUGAGCAAAAAGGUCAACUGAGCCAGACCCCAGCUCAUCCCAGCCCAGCUGCGCCUAACACUACCCAGUCACAGGUAAGAGAACAUUUGUGGGUUAGUGGGGCUUCCAGGGAGGGCUGUCUCAAGGCCCUCUUUCUAUAUGAUUCCAUCUGUCCCUCUCCUCUGCAAUCAAACCCCAGUAGCCCUUGCUGUGGCCAGUCCUGGUCCGUAGCCAGUUCAGAAGCCUAAGGCACUUGUCCCAGCCACAUGGUUUCACAGACAGCGCUGGCUAAUAGGUUCCCAUUUGGUAUGGGGAGUGGGGUUCUCCAAAGGCAAGCUGAAGCAUUCUGCCCUUAGUCCUGUCACAUUGUUGACCAAAUGUGUGCUUGACUCCAGGUCAGGAGGGAGUGGGAAUGUGUGGACGGAGAUAGUCAAUGUCCAAGAAACUGUCAAGAGGCAGCCUUGGCUCUCAUGUGUGGAGUUAAUGGGGCUCUGCAGUUGACAUUUGGGUCCAGACACCUUCAGGGCAGGACAAGGCUCAGACCCUAGGUGUAUUUGUGAUGAGCAUUGUCAGCCAGAUGACCUUAGCUUUGUGUGAAAAUAGCAGAUUGCCUCUUGGUCUGUGCCGCAAGGAACAAGGCAACCAUAGUGUGGGAGGGAGGGGACAGGCUCUCCCAUUCCAUGUCCCAAGUGAGGGGAUGUAUGGAAGCUAUGCUCUAACAGAGGAGAUGGGAGGGGAGCAGACAGGACAGGAAAGGGACCUAGGGUGCUACUUGGCUUGACUGUGGAUUGAUUUGUGACAGAUUAGUCACCUUACACCUGUGUCUGAGCCAGUUUAAGGCUACAGUGGUACUUUGUUACCGUAAUGAAAGCUAGACCAUGCUGCCCUCUGUUCUAGGCUCAGUGGCGGUGCGGGCUCAGAAGAUCCGUUUCUGGGCCUGGGGGACAGCUGUGUGGCUCGGGGAGAAAGUUGUGCAAACAGCACACCCAGUUUUUCUUUUCCAGAUGCUAGGUGUCACUCUGAAGUCCACAUACCCCACCAAAACAGUCCUAAUAAUUGAUUGGUUCUGGAAGGAUUGGUUGCCUGUGGUGGUUACCAGGUGUUGGGCAGGAAGCCUAGAUGGUGGGGCACAGUGUGCUGUGUUCUGCCUCACCCUGGUCAGGAGGCUGCUGCAGUUCCGUCUCUGUCCUGCGGGCGGCAGCACUGACAGGUACAAGAUGGGAUCACUCCAGGAAGUGCAGGGCAGGGGGAGCCUGUCUGAGCUGGGGGCUGGCAAGGCUGGCUGAAGGAGAUGACUCCAGGCCAAGGCUGGAAGCCUGUAGGGUCCUUUAAAAGCCAUCUAUUUUUUUGGUUAUAAAAUGUAAUGUGUGUUCUCAAUAGAAAAAUGCAAGUGCUUGGGUGUUUUGCCCGUCAGUCUUUUACAAAAUAUGUAUUUAUGACAUAAUUGGGAUCAAGCUGUACUUACUGUUUUCUAACCUGCGUUUUGCACUUAAUACUACACCAGGAUCAUUUCCCCACCAUUAAAUACUCUUCUAUAAUGUGAUUUUUAAUGGCAGCAUAAUGUUCCAGCCUGUGUUGCCGUGUCCCAUUUAACUAGUUCUCUAUUGUGUAUUUUGAUGGUUUCCAGUGUUUUGUCACUAUAAUAAAGCGCAGAGGGAGAUCCUGGCAGGAAAGGGCUGAGGUAGAGAGGGCAACAUAGGCUGUAUGGUGGAGGUUGGACACUUGUAUGGUGUUUUGGCUCAGGGAGCUGGGAAGGGGGCUGUUGCCGGCUGUGCCGAGGGGCAGGCUUGGCUUAGUGACCCCCCUGAAAUCCUGAAGAAGCCCAUGGUUUUCCUUUCUCUCCCCUGCCUCUCUGGCUGGUACUUCUCAAAGUGCUCCUGUGUUUGGGAAGGAACAGGGUAGCAGGCUGGAGGAAAUGCAGGCAAGGCUAGGUUACUGUCUUACACCUCUUGGCACGGGGUGGGGUGGGCAUCUGUGGUAUUUCCAUGGGGCCCUCGUGUAGCUGGGGGGAGCCUUGUCCAGUUCUCUUCCUUGCACUGUUCCCCCAGAGGCUGGGACGACACAUGGGUAUGUGUUUGUGGGGAUUCUCAGGGCAGACUGUCUCCUGAGUCACACAUUUAUCCUUACAUGGUGUGUACUACGUCUCCAUGCAUGGUCCCUGGUGUCACUGUUGGCUCAGCGGUUCAUUCCUGUCUCAUUCUCCUGACUGACUCAACACCAGCUGCACAGUAGGUGCAGCCCUUUGUGCCCAUCCUCACACCUGGAGAACCAUGUGCCCCUAUCAGGGACAUGUCAGACAAACCCUAUCCUUGUAGAUCUGCCCUUCAAACAGGACAGACAGGGACAUUUAGAGCAGUUCAGUAGUCAGGCCAGGGAGUGAUAUGUGUUCUAGAGACAAAGAAAGCCAGAGAGAUAACAUGAGAUAGGGUUCCUCCAGUGCUGGAUGGCUGGGACGAGACUCCUGGCAGAGGGUCCUCUGAGCAAAGACCAGGAGGAAGAGUAGAGGCUUGAGGUUCUGAGCAAAGCAGACCCAGAAGUCACUAUGGAGGGGACUCAGUUCUCAGGCUCUGGAUCCCUGGUAGAGACAAGGUGGGUGGGCCAGAGAAGCUGGAAGGCAAGUCUAAAGACCCCAAUCUCAUUUUGGAUUAGUGAUAGCAGGAUUAACUGGGGGGGGGGGUUUGAAGGGGCAUCCACAGGGAGAUGCAGACUCUGGGAAUGUGAGUGAUGGGCACAGCUAACUCAGGACUUGGGUAGGCUGGGAGGAGAAGACAGAAAUGGGAGGUGUUCUAAGGAUGGGCACACAGGGUGGACCUGUGAACGGCAGCUGGAAAGGGCCAAGGCUGCACAUGUAGACAUGUGACUAUUGUCAAGAGCAAGGUGGCUGGGAAAGCCUCAGCACCUAGGAUAGAGCAUUACAGAGGGAUGGGGUGCACUGCCCAGCAGGAGCCCAGCCUUUCGGGCUCCCUGGUGGCAGCCUGCCCUUUUACUGCAGCCCUGUGGAGGAGGGGUUUCAGUCUGGAGAAAUCCCUGCCGGUCCACUCUUCCAGCCAUUCUUCCCCAGGACCUAAUGCUUGGGACUUUCUGUGAUGUUUGUCAGGGCAGGGAGGUGUGCUGAUUGUACUGGGCUCAAUUCUAUUACCGUCAAUUCUAUUACUUCCUGAGACAGAGAGAGAG